UACGUAGGUGGCGAGCGUUGUCCGGAUUUACUGGGCGUAAAGGGCGUGCAGGCGGUUUGUUAAGUGCAGGGUGAAAGCUCCCAGCUCAACUGGGAGAGGUCCUUGCAUACUGGCGAACUCGAGGGAGGCAGAGGAAAGUGGAAUUCCCGGUGUAGUGGUGAUAUGCGUAGAUAUCGGGAGGAACACCUGUGGCGAAGGCGGCUUUCUGGGCCUUACCUGACGCUGAGACGCGAAAGCGUGGGGAGCGAACCGG
rnacentral:rRNA from 1 species